UGUGUGGGUAGAGGGGGGGAGGUUGUGGAAAUGCAUCUGCUUGUUUAUUUAUGUAGAUGAACAGAAGGAAUGACGAUCAGGGAGGGAGAGGCAGACGGAGAGAAAGAAAGAAAGAAAGGUUUGGAAGAGAGUUGUAUUUGCAAACUGCUGGCUGACUUCCCACUGGAGCUGUGAGAGAUCAGACCGAGAGGCUGCGUGUCAGAAGAGAGAGAGAGUGUGUGUAUGUGUGUGUUUGCACAUCUGAGAAGAGAAACGCAGAGACACAGACAGAGAGAGAGAGAAAGGGGAGGGAGGAAGGGAGAGGAACCCGUUCAACCCAUUUCAGCGGCAACUUUUCAGCCCGUCUUACAUGAGGUCUCUCCCUGAAUAUGGACACUUUUCGCUCCCGUCUCUUCAGCCAUCCGGUCGCCACGGUUCCCCGAUGCCGAACUUUGGCCACACUUUAGGCUGAAGCAACCUGAGUUUUCUCUGCAGUUUUGCAGGAGGUGAUGAUGGCAUUCACCGUGUAAAGCAACUCAAGCCUUUGCAUCAUCACCCCUCCUUGCGGUGUCAUUUGAGCCUUUGCAGCAACGAGGUUGGCAACACGUCCUGGCGUGGAACCGCUCCACAUGUGCCAAGAGUGCAGUUCAAGAGUGCACAGGCAGACACAAAGAGUGGUAACACACAUUUACCUGUCUUCACAUGUGUUUUUCCUAGUUUUUGUCCAAUAAUGUGAAAGCUGAGGAGGAAAAUACAAGACGCAUCAGAGCUGCUUGUAGGAAUCAGACCUGCAGACAUAGAACUACACGAAUGUUUAGGCCCCUGAUUUUCACUCUGUGGAAAAUCCACAAUAAAAAUUAGUUGAUAUCAACAUGAAAGCAACACCAAAACACGGAUUGUCAGUAAUUCAAUGGAAAUUCCUCUGAAACAUGGGAGAAA